AGUAUCUAAAAUUAGUGUUUAAAAAUAAAUAAAUAGUGAUAAUUCAUAUGUGCACCUAUAAAAAUAUAGGGAUAUAUGAAAAGGGAAAGUAUUGAUUGAUCUGGGAUGCAUCAGGAACAACCCCGAAAGAGCAAAAAUUUAGUUUUAAUGACCCUGAUUGGAUUGGACCAGUAUAUAGAAAUUCUGGAAUAUACUUUGCAGUUUAAUCACGCAGAGGUCAAGUGCUGUUGGUAAGAUCGCCGCCUCAAUAUCUUUUUGGUUUAUGAUAGAAAUAUGACUGACAAGUUAGGUAACUUGCUCAGCCCUGAUAGAAAUAAUGAAACAGAAGAGAGCAAAUGCUGUAAACAGUUUGGCUCUGAAGCUCUGACUUUAAAAAUAUUCUCUGAAUUCAUUGAAAGAAUGGUCAGUCUGAGCUUUGAUUCUGAUUGGAAAGUUAAAACAAAAACUUGAUUGGCUUUAAACAAAGAAAGAACCAGAGAGAUAAAAAAGUCUAAAUGUAUGUGCCGAUUUGCUAAAAAUAAUCCCAGUAGUAAAUUAUUCCUACAUAAUUGUUGAAAGUCCUGACAAGGCAUAUUGAACAGAAUUCUGGGUUGGUGAAAA